CGCUGGCGGCAAGCCUAACACAUGCAAGUCGAACGGACAAUUAUUUAUAGCCUCUGGCUAUAGGAAAUUGUUAGUGGCAGACGGGUGAGUAAUGCGUAGGAAUCUACCUAGUAGUACGGAAUAGCCAUUAGAAAUGGUGGGUAAUACUGUAUAAUCCCCGAGGGGGAAAGAUUUAUCGCUAUUAGAUGAGCCUACGUUAGAUUAGCUAGUUGGUGAGGUAAUGGCUUACCAAGGCUAUGAUCUAUAGCUGGUCUGAGAGGACGAUCAGCCACACUGGAACUGAGAUACGGUCCAGACUCCUACGGGAGGCAGCAGUGGGGAAUAUUGGACAAUGGGCGAAAGCCUGAUCCAGCUAUGCCGCGUGAGUGAAGAAGGCCUUCGGGUUGUAAAACUCUUUCAAUAGGGAAGAUAAUGACGGUACCUAUAGAAGAAGUCCCGGCAAACUCUGUGCCAGCAGCCGCG
rnacentral:rRNA from 1 species